rnacentral:tRNA from 1 species
GGGAGUGGGUAAUAGCUCUGGUAGAGCGCAUGCUUAGUGUGCAUGAGGUCCUGGGUUCUAUCCCCAGCACUUCUA